AAAGCCCUUCUUCACAAAGACAGGAUGUUGGAAAUGGCAGCAAGCUUUUCGAUGCACUUGUAUCAAUCUUAGGAUAUUCUGCCUUGACUUUAAUAUAGAAGGUUUUCUUUGAUGGCAGUUCUGCUCUAAAGAUGGAUAAAGAAGGAGGUUCCAAGAUGGCCGAAUAGGAACAGCUCCAGUCUACAGCUCCCAGCAUGAGCAACGCAGAAGACAGGGGAUUUCUGCAUUUCCAAUUGAGGAACGCAGCUCCUCGCCAGCAACAGAACAAAGCUGGACGGAGAACGACUUUGACGAGUUGAGAGAAGAAGGCUCCAGAAGAUCGGUAAUAACAAACUUCUCUGAGCUAAAGGAGGAUGUUCAAACCCAUUGCAAAGAAGCUAAAAACCUUGAAAAAAGAUUGGCUAACUAGAAUAAACAGUAUAGAGAAGACCUUAAAUGACUUGAUGUAGCUGAAAACUGUAGCACAAGAACUACAUGAUGCAUGCACAAGCUUCAGUAGCCGAUUCGAUCAACUGGAAGAAAGGGUAUCAGUGAUUGAAGAUCAAAUGAAUGAAAUGAAGUGAGAAGAGAAAUUUAGAGAAAAAAGAGUAAAUACAAAGAAAUGAACAAAUCCUCCAAGAAAUAUGGGACUAUGUGAAAAGACCAAAUCUACGUCUGAUUGGUAUACCUGAAAGUGACGGGGAGAAUGGAACCAAGUUGGAAAACACUCUGCAGGAUAUUAUCCAGGAGAACUUCCCCAACCUAGAAAGGCAGGCCAACAUUCAAAUUCAGGAAACACAGAGAAUGCCAAUAAGAUACUCCUCGAGAAGAGCAACUCCAAGACACAUAAUUGUCGGAUUCACCAAAGUUGAAAUGAAGGAAAAAAUGUUAAGCGCAGCCAGAGAGAAAUGUCAAGUUACCCACAAGGGGAAGCCCAUCAGACUAACAGUGGAUCUCUCAGCAGAAACUCUAGAAGCCAGAAGAGAGUGGGGGCCAAUAUUCAACAUUCUUAAAGGAAAGCAUUUUCAACCCAGAAUUUCAUAUCCAGCCAAACUAAGCUUCAUAAGUGAAGGAGAAAUAAAAUCCUUUACAGACAAGUAAAUGCUGAGAGAUUUUGUCAUCACCAGGCCUGCCCUAAAAGAGCUCCCGAAGGAAGCACUAAACAUGGAAAGGAACAAUUGGUACCAGCCACUGCAAAAACAUGCCAAAUUGUAAAGACCUUCGAGGCUAGGAAGAAACUGCAUCAAUUAAUGAGCAAAAUAACCAGCUAACAUCAUAAUGACAGGAUCAGAUUCACACAUAACAAUAUUAACCUUAAAUGUAAAUGGGCUAAAUGCUCCAAUUAAAAGACACAGACUGGCAAAUUGGAUAAAAAGUCAAGACCCAUCAGUGUGCUGUAUUCAGGAAACCCAUCUCACAUGCAGAAGACACACAUAGGCUCAAAAUAAAGGGAUGGAGGAAGAUCUACCAAGCAAAUGGAAAACAAAAAAGAAAGCAGUGGUUGCAAUCCUAGUCUCUGAUAAAACGGACUUUAAACCAACAAAGAUCAGAAGAGACAAAGCAGGCCAUUAUGUAAUGGUAAAGGGAUCAAUUCAACAAGAAGAGCUAACUAUCCUAAAUAUAUAUGCACCCAAUACAAGAGCACCCAGAUUCAUAAAGCAAGUUCUUAGAGACCUACAAAGAGACUUAGACUCCCACACAAUAAUAAUGGGAGACUUUAACACCCCACUGUCAACAUUAGACCGACCAAUGAGACAGAAAGUUAACAAGGAUAUCCAGGAAUUGAACUCAGCUCUGCACCAAGCAGACCUAAUAGACAUCUACAGAAUUCUCCACCCCAAAUCAACAGAAUAUACAUUCUUCUCAGCAUCACAUUGCACUUAUUCCAAAAUUGACCACAUAGUUGGAAGUAAAGCACUCCUCAGCAAAUGU